rnacentral:rRNA from 1 species
GACGAACGCUGGCGGCGUGCUUAACACAUGCAAGUCGAACGGAAAGGCCCUGCUUUUGUGGGGUGCUCGAGUGGCGAACGGGUGAGUAACACGUGAGUAACCUGCCCUUGACUUUGGGAUAACUUCAGGAAACUGGGGCUAAUACCGGAUAGGAGCUCCUCCUGCAUGGGGGGGGGUGGAAAGUUUCGGCGGUUGGGGAUGGACUCGCGGCUUAUCAGCUUGUUGGGGGGGUAGUGGCUUACCAAGGCUUUGACGGGUAGCCGGCCUGAGAGGGUGACCGGCCACAUUGGGACUGAGAUACGGCCCAGACUCCUACGGGAGGCAGCAGUGGGGAAUAUUGCACAAUGGGCGGAAGCCUGAUGCAGCAACGCCGCGUGCGGGAUGACGGCCUUCGGGUUGUAAACCGCUUUCGCCUGUGACGAAGCGUGAGUGACGGUAAUGGGUAAAGAAGCACCGGCUAACUACGUG